AUUAAACGCUGGCGGCAUGCCUUACACAUGCAAGUCGAACGGCAGCACGGGGGCAACCCUGGUGGCGAGUGGCGAACGGGUGAGUAAAGCAUCGGAACGUGCCCUGGAGUGGGGGAUAACGUAGCGAAAGUUACGCUAAUACCGCAUAUUCUGUGAGCAGGAAAGCAGGGGAUCGCAAGACCUUGCGCUCUGGGAGCGGCCGAUGUCGGAUUAGCUAGUUGGUGGGGUAAAGGCCUACCAAGGCGACGAUCCGUAGCGGGUCUGAGAGGAUGAUCCGCCACACUGGGACUGAGACACGGCCCAGACUCCUACGGGAGGCAGCAGUGGGGAAUUUUGGGACAAUGGGCGCAAGCCUGAUCCAGCCAUGCCGCGUGAGUGAAGAAGGCCUU
rnacentral:rRNA from 1 species